GAUGAACGCUGGCGGCGUGCCUAAUACAUGCAAGUAGAACGCUGAAGGAGGAGCUUGCUCUUCUGGAUGAGUUGCGAACGGGUGAGUAACGCGUAGGUAACCUGCCUGGUAGCGGGGGAUAACUAUUGGAAACGAUAGCUAAUACCGCAUGACAACAGCUAUUGCAUGAUAACUGUUUAAAAGGGGCAACUGCUCCACUACCAGAUGGACCUGCGUUGUAUUAGCUAGUUGGUGAGGUAACGGCUCACCAAGGCGACGAUACAUAGCCGACCUGAGAGGGUGAUCGGCCACACUGGGACUGAGACACGGCCCAGACGCCUACGGGAGGCAGCAGUAGGGAAUCGGCGGCAAUGGACGGAAGUCUGACCGAGAAACGCCGCGUGAGUGAAGAAGGUUUUCGGAUCGUAAAGCUCUGUUGUAAGAGAAGAACGAGUGUGAGAGUGGAAAGUUCACACUGUGACGGUAUCUUACCAGAAAGGGACGGCUAACUACGUG
rnacentral:rRNA from 1 species